GAUGAACGCUGGCGGCGUGCCUAAUACAUGCAAGUCGAGCGAACAGACGAGGAGCUUGCUCCUCUGACGUUAGCGGCGGACGGGUGAGUAACACGUGGAUAACCUACCUAUAAGACUGGGAUAACUUCGGGAAACCGGAGCUAAUACCGGAUAAUAUAUUGAACCGCAUGGUUCAAUAGUGAAAGACGGUUUUGCUGUCACUUAUAGAUGGAUCCGCGCCGCAUUAGCUAGUUGGUAAGGUAACGGCUUACCAAGGCAACGAUGCGUAGCCGACCUGAGAGGGUGAGCGGCAAAAGUGGAACUGAGACAGUGUACAGAGUACUACGGGCGGCAGCAGUAGGGGUGAUUCAGCAAUGGGCGAAAACUUGACGGAGCAACUUCGCGGGAAGAAUGAAGGUCUUAGGAGCGUACAACGAUGUUAGUAGGGAUGAACAAAUGUGUAAGUAACUAUGCACGUCAUGACGGUACCUAAUCAGAAAGCAACGGAUAACUACGUU
rnacentral:rRNA from 1 species